rnacentral:rRNA from 1 species
GACGAACGCUGGCGGCGCGCUUAACACAUGCAAGUCGAACGGAAAGGCCUGCUUUCCCUUGUGGAUUGCGGGUACUCGCGUGGCGAACGGGUGAGUAACACGUGAGUGAUCUGCCCCCAACUUGGGUAUAAGCCUGGGAAACUGGGUCUAAUUCCCGAUAGGACUGCAGGGUGGUGCCUGUGGUGGAAAACGAUUUUCUAGUGGUUGGGGAUGAGCUCGCGGCCUAUCAGCUUGUUGGUGGGGUAAUGGCCUACCAAGGCGGCGACGGGUAGCCGGCCUGAGAGGGUGGACGGCCACAUUGGGACUGAGAUACGGCCCAGACGCCUACGGGAGGCAGCAGUGGGGAAUAUUGCACAAUGGGCGGAAGCCUGAUGCAGCGACGCCGCGUGGGGGAUGACGGCCUUCGGGUUGUAAACUCCUUUCGACCGCGAGGAAGCCACCUGGUUGGAAGGGUGGUGACGGUAGUGGUAGAAGAAGCACCGGCUAACUACGUG